rnacentral:rRNA from 1 species
AGUGAACGCUGGCGGUAGGCCUAACACAUGCAAGUCGAACGGCAGCACAGUAAGAGCUUGCUCUUACGGGUGGCGAGUGGCGGACGGGUGAGGAAUACAUCGGAAUCUACUUUUUCGUGGGGGAUAACGUAGGGAAACUGACGCUAAUACCGCAUACGACCUACGGGUGAAAUCAGGGGAUCUUCGGACCUUGCGCGAUUGAAUGAGCCGAUGUCGGAUUAGCUAGUUGGCGGGGUAAAGGCCCACCAAGGCGACGAUCCGUAGCUGGUCUGAGAGGAUGAUCAGCCACACUGGAACUGAGACACGGUCCAGACUCCUACGGGAGGCAGCAGUGGGGAAUAUUGGACAAUGGGCGCAAGCCUGAUCCAGCCAUACCGCGUGGGUGAAGAAGGCCUUCGGGUUGUAAAGCCCUUUUGUUGGGAAAGAAAAGCAGCAGGUUAAUACCCCGCUGUUCUGACGGUACCCAAAGAAUAAGCAACGGCUAACUUCGUG